rnacentral:rRNA from 1 species
GUCGAACGGUAACAGGUCUUUCGGGAUGCUGACGAGUGGCGGACGGGUGAGGAAUACAUCGGAAUCUGCUCAGUCGUGGGGGAUAACGCAUGGAAACGUGCGCUAAUACCGCAUACGACCUUCGGGUGAAAGCAGGGGAAUCUCUCGGGAUCCUUGCGCGAUUGAAUGAGCCGAUGUCGGAUUAGCUAGUUGGUAGGGUAAAAGCCUACCAAGGCCACGAUCCGUAGCUGGUCUGAGAGGAUGAUCAGCCACACUGGGACUGAGACACGGCCCAGACUCCUGCGGGAGGCAGCAGUGGGGAAUAUUGGACAAUGGGGGCAACCCUGAUCCAGCCAUACCGCGUGGGUGAAGAAGGCCUUCUGGGUUGUAAAGCCCUUUUGUUGGGGAAGAAAAACAACGGGUUAAUACCCCGUUGGUAUGACGGUACCCAAAGAAUAAGCACCGGCUAACUUCGUGCCAGCAGCCGCGGUAAUACGAAGGGUGCAAGCGUUACUCGGAAUUACUGGGCGUAAAGGGUGCGUAGGUGGUUGCGCCAGUCUGUCGUGAAAGCCCUGGGCUUAACCUGGGAAUGGCGAUGGAAACUGUGCAACUAGAGUGUGACAGAGGGUGGUGGAAUUCCUGGUGUAGCAGUGAAAUGCGUAGAGAUCAGGAGGAACAUUCGUGGCGAAGGCGGCCACCUGGGUCAACACUGACACUGAGGCACGAAAGCGUGGGGAGCAAACAGGAUUAGAUACCCUGGUAGUCCACGCCCUAAACGAUGCGAACUGGAUGUUGGGUCCAACUUGGGAUUCAGUAUCGAAGCUAACGCGUUAAGUUCGCCGCCU